AUUGAACGCUGGCGGCAUGCCUUACACAUGCAAGUCGAACGGCAGCACGGGUGCUUGCACCUGGUGGCGAGUGGCGAACGGGUGAGUAAUACAUCGGAACAUGUCCUGUAGUGGGGGAUAGCCCGGCGAAAGCCGGAUUAAUACCGCAUACGAUCUGCGGAUGAAAGCGGGGGACCUUCGGGCCUCGCGCUAUAGGGUUGGCCGAUAGCUGAUUAGCUAGUUGGUGGGGUAAAGGCCUACCAAGGCGACGAUCAGUAGCUGGUCUGAGAGGACGACCAGCCACACUGGGACUGAGACACGGCCCAGACUCCUACGGGAGGCAGCAGUGGGGAAUUUUGGACAAUGGGCGAAAGCCUGAUCCAGCAAUGCCGCGUGUGUGAAGAAGGCCUUCGGGUUGUAAAGCACUUUUGUCCGGAAAGAAAUCCUUGGCUCUAAUACAGUCGGGGGAUGACGGUACCGGAAGAAUAAGCACCGGCUAACUACGUG
rnacentral:rRNA from 1 species